CUCAUCCAACCUUAGGCAUGAACGUGGUGGGUAACUUUAGGACAGUCACCCCCUCUCAGCCCUAGGAAGGAGGCAAGGGCAAACCACUUCCAAAAAUCUUGCCAAGAAAACUGCAGGGACUAGUCCAGGCAGUUGCUAGCAAUCAACACUGGCUCGAAGGUACACUUUCAUACACACAGAAAGGUUGGUACACUGUUGGCAAACUCCUUUCUGCUAUAGAUAACAGCUCACCAGCUACUAUGCCUUCACAGGUUUUUGAAAAGGAUUAGUGGAGGGGAAUUCCUCACUGAUGAGCAGAUUUCCAUCCCUGCCCAAAAUGGAGCAAUUAACAAGCCCAGCUGCAUGAAGUGGUAUACUUCAAAUACACCCCCAUCAGAAUGAAUCAGCCCAACAUGGAACAUCCCAUAAGCCCUGGAGAUUCCUUCUGAGGCAGGACAGACUUUGACCUUUUAUCCCAUUGAGAUAGGAGAACUUCACCUUCAUUCUAUAUGAACAUGAUUGCAUUUUCCUCCCUGCCCUCUGGAUAUAAACCUCUUGUUGAUUUUCUACUUUCAGCCUGUACCUAGCUUCCAAAACAGUUGUUACAGAUUCCAUCCAUUCCUUCACUUGGCUUGAUCCUUCCCUGCAGCAAUUUGCAUUUUUAUUGUCCAAUGUUGUGUCUCUCCAUUGCUGCAUUUCAAACUGUGCGCUCCAUAUAUUUGAAAGAGGCAUUAAAAUUCAGAGCCUGUGUACAGCACAGCCUCCUUAUUAAUUAAUGAGCACCCAGCAUGAACAAUCACACACACACACACACACAGGCUGCUGCAUUUGUCAGAAGCACCAUGGGGAGCAUGAGUACAUUUAAUAAAAUUGUCUUGCAUACUUGA